GGCCUCGCAAGCCAAAUAUUAUCCAGUUUGUUAUGCAGUUUCUACCUUCCAGCACAAUUGAUCUAUUUCUUUAUUCUCAAUGAAGAUUCAAGAAGUUACUCAUAAGCUUGGCUCAACUGCUGUCCACAACAACUGCUCAAAACCUUUUCUAGGUUUGCUCUCCAAUGUGAGAGGAUAAACUAAUUGCUCUCCAGUGCAAAUGGGUAAACCAAUUCCCCGACACCCAUAUGGGUUUGCUUUCCAGUGUGAGAGAAUAAAUUAAUUGCUCUCCAGUGCGAGAGGGUAAACCAAUUCCCUGACACCCAUAUGGCUCUGCUCUCCAGUGCAAGAGGGUAAACUAAUUCCCCAAAACCCAUAUGGGUUUGCUCUCCAGUACGAGAGGAUAAACUAAUUGCUCUUUAGUGCGAGAGGGUAAAAUAAUUCCUUGACACCCAUAUGGGUUUGCUCUCCAGUGAGAAAGGAUAAACUAAUUGCUCUCCAGUGUGAGAAGGUAAACUAAUUGCUUUUUAGUGUGAUAAGGUAAACUAAUUCUCUGACACCCAUCUGGGUAAAGCUCUCCAGUGCAAGAAAGCCACAUAGCUCAAAAGAUCGAAUGCUUGAAGAUCAACUAGGCAGCAAAUGGUCAGGGGGUAGCAUCCAUUUUUGCACUCAAUAGUUCGUUCAUCUGACACUUUAUCUUUAGCAACUCCGAUCUUGGCAGCUUCAUCCUUGGCUACUCCAUCUACGACAGCUGAGAAAUCAAA
rnacentral:lncRNA from 1 species